CUGACGCUGAGGCGCGAAAGCUAGGGGAGCAAACAGGAUUAGAUACCCUGGUAGUCCUAGCCCUAAACGAUGAUUGCUUGGUGUGAUCGGUACCCAAUCCGAUUGUGCCGCAGCUAACGCGAUAAGCAAUCCGCCUGGGGAGUACGGCCGCAAGGCUGAAACUCAAAGGAAUUGACGGGGGCCCGCACAAGCGGUGGAGCAUGUGGUUCAAUUCGACGCAACGCGAAGAACCUUACCUGGGCUCGAAAUGCAGGAGACCGGGGUAGAAAUAUCCUUUUCUCGCAAGAGACUGCUGUAUAGGUGCUGCAUGGCUGUCGUCAGCUCGUGUCGUGAGAUGUUGGGUUAAGUCCCGCAACGAGCGCAACCCUCAUCCCUAGUUGCCACCGGGUCAAGCCGAGCACUCUAGUGAAACCGCCCCGGAUAACGGGGAGGAAGGUGGGGAUGACGUCAAGUCCUCAUGGCCUUUAUGUCCAGGGCUACACACGUGCUACAAUGGUCGGUACAAACCGUCGCAAAGCCGCAAGGUGGAGCUAAUCGGAAAAAGCCGGCCUCAGUUCGGAUUGGAGUCUGCAACUCGACUCCAUGAAGCUGGAAUCGCUAGUAAUCGCAGAUCAGAACGCUGCGGUGAAUACGUUCCCGGGCCUUGUACACACCGCCCGUCACAUCACGAAAGUGGGCUGCACUAGAAGCCGGUGUGCCA
rnacentral:rRNA from 1 species